GACAGAGGGUGCAAGCGUUGUUCGGAAUUACUGGGCGUAAAGCGCGUGUAGGCGGCUAAGCAAGUCGGGCGUGAAAUCCCAUGGCUCAACCAUGGAAGUGCACCCGAAACUGCAUAGCUAGAGUCCUGGAGAGGAAGGUGGAAUGCUUGGUGUAGAGGUGAAAUUCGUAGAUAUCAAGCGGAACACCGGUGGCGAAGGCGGCCUUCUGGACAGUGACUGACGCUGAGACGCGAAAGCGUGGGGAGCAAACAGG
rnacentral:rRNA from 1 species